AUAUCUUUAUGAGACACAACUUCCAUCUACCCUUGCAAAUGAUAUUACAAGGUACUGGCCCAGAAGCCCACAGUUCUAGAAGAGGAAUCUAAUUGGCUCAGCUUGAGUUAUCUGUCUAUUCUUCAUCCUCUACGCUGUCGCCACCUGGGCCAACUUCUUCUCCAGUGUUGCAGAUGGGCAAGCAUAGCACACCAGGUCUGCAAGCCUUUCAUUUUAAAGGUAAGAGAACUGAAUGAACACCUUCAUGGGGGAAGUGAUUUGUCCUUGGUUAUGUAACCAGCUAUUGACUUGAUGGACAGUAAUAGAACCACCACACCACUUUUUUUUUUUUUUUUUAAUUACCAAAGCUAUAUUACAUCUGUCACACCUUCCUAGCAUUUCUUGCUAGCAGAGGGAAGGAGAACACUCUUGGGUUGAGAAACUGGGGCAAAAGGUAACUAGCAAGUUGGAGAUGCCUCUAGGUUUUCUGCAUAACUAUUCUGCAAUUUAGUAGGUUGUCUUUUAACUGCUUUGUCUAUUCCCUUGCUCUAUUGAGAUAUAAUUUACAUAUUAUAAAGUUCAUUCAUUUUAAGUGUACAUGUCAGUAAGUUCUAGUAUAUUUGUAGUUAUACAACCAUCUCCACAAUCUAGUUUCAGAACAUUUCUAUCAGCUUAUGCUCAUGUACGUUAAUUCAUUACAGUAAUGAAUUUGUUGUAUAUACAACACAAAUCAAAUUCAAUAUCUUUUUUAUUUUUCAGCUAUGCUAUGAACCAGGCAUUGUGCUAAAAUUGUUACAAAACAUUAUCUUAGUCUAUCAUCUGUGUCUUGCACUUAUGCUGUGAUGCAUAUCUAAAUAACAUGAAAAAUGCUGUAAUAGAUGUGUAGACAAAUUGUGAUGGUGAAGCAGAGAAAAUGCCAGUUAAUUCAUUUUACUUUAAAAGAAAAUCUAUCCUUCCUUUUUUACAUUCAAAGAUUAUGAUAUUUGAAAUUGCAUAUAACUUUAAACCACUUUGAGAAAUAUUAUCUAUAUACAUACAAAUCACUGGUAAUAGCACUAAAAAAGGAAUGUUGUCCUGGCCUUUACAAGGCUAGCAGAGGAAGAAUAUAUUCACAAAUUACUAUUUUAUUAAGGUAGAAUAUCAUGAUAUCCCUUCAAAUAGCUAUGAAGUCCUGGCAAAGGGAGAGACUAUGACUUAUGAAAUUAGGGAAUUCUCCCCGUAAGAGGCUCUACCUUGAAGAAAGGGAAAAUUUUAAACUUAAAAAUGGGCUUUCGUAAGGUGAUAAUUUAUUAUUCAUAGUUGAACAACAAAAGAGACAAUUACACUGGUUACAGUGAUGCAAUAGGAAUAAACUGGGAUUUUUCUGGAAACA
rnacentral:lncRNA from 1 species